AUGCAAGUCGAACGGUAACAUGACUAGCUUGCUAGUUGAUGACGAGUGGCGGACGGGUGAGUAACGCGUAGGAAUCUACCCAGUAGCGGGGGAUAAGCCAGAGAAAUUUGGUCUAAUACCGCAUACGCCCUUCGGGGGAAAGCAGGGGAUCUUCGGACCUUGCACUAUUGGAUGAGCCUGCGUGAGAUUAGCUAGUUGGUGAGGUAAUGGCUCACCAAGGCGACGAUCUCUAGCUGGUCUGAGAGGAUGAUCAGCCACACUGGAACUGAGACACGGUCCAGACUCCUACGGGAGGCAGCAGUGGGGAAUAUUGCACAAUGGGCGCAAGCCUGAUGCAGCCAUGCCGCGUGUGUGAAGAAGGCCCUAGGGUUGUAAAGCACUUUCAGCAGUGAGGAAAGGUUAGUAGUUAAUACCUGCUAGCUGCGACGUUAGCUGCAGAAGAAGCACCGGCUAACUCCGUGCCAGCAGCCGCGGUAAUACGGAGGGUGCGAGCGUUAAUCGGAAUUACUGGGCGUAAAGCGCGCGUAGGUGGAUUGGUCAGUCAGAUGUGAAAGCCCA
rnacentral:rRNA from 1 species